rnacentral:tRNA from 1 species
GGGCCUAUAGCUCAGCUGGGAGAGCGCACGCCUUACAAGCAGGGGGUCGAUGGUUCGAGUCCAUUUAGGCCCA